GUUCGGUAGGGAGAUGUUUUUUUUCCUUUAAAUGUACAUAUGUUGGCAAAAAAUGUAACUACCCAACAUCUUCAGAAGAAGCUGUAAUGUUCCUCUUCAGAUGGUUUCGGUAGCUAUCGCU